GGGGAUAUAGCUCAGUUGGUAGAGUGCUUGCCUAGCAUGUACGAGGCCCUGGGUUCACUCCACAGCACUGCCCCCA
rnacentral:tRNA from 1 species